rnacentral:rRNA from 1 species
GAUGAACGCUAGCUACAGGCUUAACACAUGCAAGUCGCGGGGCAGCAUGGGGGUUGCUUGCAAUCCCCGAUGGCGACCGGCGCACGGGUGAGUAACGCGUAUCCAACCUGCCCUUCACCACGGGAUAACCCGGCGAAAGUCGGACUAAUACCGUAUGUUGUCCAUUGACGGCAUCCGAUUUGGACGAAAGGCUUGGCGGUGAGGGAUGGGGAUGCGUCCGAUUAGCCAGACGGCGGGGUAACGGCCCACCGUGGCUACGAUCGGUAGGGGUUCUGAGAGGAAGGUCCCCCACACUGGAACUGGGACACGGUCCAGACUCCUACGGGAGGCAGCAGUGAGGAAUAUUGGUCAAUGGGCGUAAGCCUGAACCAGCCAAGUAGCGUGCAGGAUGACGGCCCUAUGGGUUGUAAACUGCUUUUAUGCGGGGAUAAAGUGGCCCACGUGUGGGCUUUUGCAGGUACCGCAUGAAUAAGGACCGGCUAAUUCCGUG